GACGAACGCUGGCGGCGUGCUUAACACAUGCAAGUCGAACGGAAAGGCCCUGCUUUUGUGGGGUGCUCGAGUGGCGAACGGGUGAGUAACACGUGAGUAACCUGCCCUUGACUUUGGGAUAACUUCAGGAAACUGGGGCUAAUACCGGAUAGGAGCUCCUGCUGCAUGGUGGGGGUUGGAAAGUUUCGGCGGUUGGGGAUGGACUCGCGGCUUAUCAGCUUGUUGGUGGGGUAGUGGCUUACCAAGGCUUUGACGGGUAGCCGGCCUGAGAGGGUGACCGGCAAAAUGGGGACGGGGAUACGGCCCAGACUCCUAGGGGAGGCAGCAGUGGGGAAUAUUGCACAAGGGGCGGAAGCCGGAUGCAGAAACGCCGGGGGCGGGAUGACGGCCUUCGGGUUGUAACCCGCUUUCGCCUGUAACGAAGCGGGGGUGAGGGAAAUGGGUAAAGAAGCACCGGCUAACUCCGU
rnacentral:rRNA from 1 species